GCCUGCGUACCGGUGUCGCCUUCUAAGCGGUAAGCCGUAAUUGGAUGAUGCGCGUUCGAAUCGCGCCGCGGGCUCCA
rnacentral:tRNA from 1 species